rnacentral:sRNA from 1 species
GUCAAAAUAUUAUGAUCCUACUAUAUUAUUUGAGAAGUACAUUUUAAAUGUAACCUUAAUUUUUAUAAGUAAUUACAUAGGUAUGCCAUUAGAAAUAAAAAUUU